rnacentral:miRNA from 1 species
UCAGUAACACGGAUUCGAUCCUU